GGAUGGCGGCCAUUCGGGUUGUAAACCUCUUUCAGUAGGGAAGAAGCGGAAAGUGACGGUUCCUGCAGAAGAAGCACCGGCUAAUUACGUACCAGCAUCCGCGGUAAUACGUAGGGCGCAAGCGUUAUCCGGAAUUAUUGGGCGUAAAGAGCUCGUAGGCGGUUUGUCGCGUCUUCCGUGAAAGUCCGGGGCUCAACUCCGGAUCUGCGGUGGGUACGGGCAGACUAGAGUGAUGUAGGGGAGACUGGAAUUCCUGGUGUAGCGGUGAAAUGCGCAGAUAUCAGGAGGAACGCCGAUGGCGAAGGCAGGUCUCUGGGCAUUAACUGACGCUGAGGAGCGAAAGCAUGGGGAGCGAACAGGAUUAGAUACCCUGGUAGUCCAUGCCGUAAACGUUGGGCACUAGGUGUGGGGGACAUUCCACGUUUUCCGCGCCGUAGCUAACGCAUUAAGUGCCCCGCCUGGGGAGUACGGCCGCAAGGCUAAAACUCAAAGGAAUUGACGGGGGCCCGCACAAGCGGCGGAGCAUGCGGAUUAAUUCGAUGCAACGCGAAGAACCUUACCAAGGCUUGACAUGAACCGGUAAUACCUGGAGACAGGUGCCCCGCUUGCGGUCGGUUUACAGGUGGUGCAUGGUUGUCGUCAGCUCGUGUCGUGAGAUGUUGGGUUAAGUCCCGCAACGAGCGCAACCCUCGUUCUAUGUUGCCAGCACGUGAUGGUGGGGACUCAUAGGAGACUGCCGGGGUCAACUCGGAGGAAGGUGGGGACGACGUCAAAUCAUCAUGCCCCUUAUGUCUUGGGCUUCACGCAUGCUACAAUGGCCGGUACAAAGGGUUGCGAUACUGUGAGGUGGAGCUAAUCCCAAAAAGCCGGUCUCAGUUCGGAUUGGGGUCUGCAACUCGACCCCAUGAAGUCGGAGUCGCUAGUAAUCGCAGAUCAGCAACGCUGCGGUGAAUACGUUCCCGGGCCUUGUACACACCGCCCGUCAAGUCACGAAAGUUGGUAACACCCGAAGCCGGUGGCCUAA
rnacentral:rRNA from 1 species